AAGUUGCAAAAGAUGUAAUUUCACUACAUUGUGUACUUGCUUUAAAAAUAUUUUCUUCCAGUUUUCAGAGCAGCACAAAAGCUAAUUUAAUACAUAAGAAAUGUUUUUCAUGACUGCUCAUGAACAUUGACCGCAUAAACAAACUGUGGCAUUUCCAUACAAUGGAAUACCACUCGGCAGUAAGAAGCAAGGAGCUAUGGACGCACUACAACAUGGACGAAUCCCAAAAUAACUAUGCUGAAGGAAAGAAGUCAGGCAAAACAGAGUACACACUGUGUGAGAAUGCAAAAUAUUCGUAGAGAAAGAAAGCAGAUCAGUGGGUGCCUGGUGAGGGGAAGGAGUGGGAGGGAAGGAUUAUAGUCGGGUAGAGCCAUGUGGCUGAACACUCAGCAACAGAAUGUGAGUGAAAAUGAUGUAGAGUCCUUUCUGGGUAUUGCUCAUAAAAACAUCCCACACAACCCUCGCUCUAUCUUCCUUCCCAUCCUCUAGCUGAAUGGAGAGAACUUAGAGGAGGGCAGAGCCACCAGAUAAAGGGGAACUGGAUCCCUGAAAGACUGCCUGAAGCCAAGUCCCCUUCGACUGGCACUGGACUGUGACAUGAACAAGAACUAAACUAUUAUAGGAUUAAACCCCUGACAUGUUGGGAUUGUUUGUUACAGCAGUAAGCCAACCCUGACUAAUGCAUAGUCCUCUGUAAUCUCCCUGCCAGAAGAUAGCUGUCUGGUCCCCUCAAAGGAAAGCUCCACUGGAGGGCUCAGACGCCUCCCUGAGCCUUGCGAAUUGGGCUCAGCACUGACAAGAGAGAGGCCAGCCACGGGAGGAAGCAGUCUAUAUUGCUGGGCCAGUGUUCUCAUAAACUCACUGGGCAACUCCCGAAAGGGCUGGAGAAGGAGACUGCCUGAUAGCCACCGAAGGAGCCACCUGCUCACCAGGCUUUUAAGAGGUUCUUCUGUAGUGAAGCCCUUUUGGUAAAUGCUCAUCUGGGACACAAAUAACCUUAUACUCUGAAACUAUACUGGGCAGUUUAUGCAUAUUUGUCUUCCUCAAUGCUUCCUGUCACUAAGCCUUCAGUCUGUUUCUUCCCAAGUCUCUGACUAACAGACUAGCCCAUGAUCCAACGCCCAGAAAUCAGUGUGUCUUUACUUCAAGGCCGCUGCGCGCACUUCCGUCUUCUAGCUCCCUCAGGAGGAAGACUGGAACACCCGAGCAAUCCACUUCUGGCUAAAGCCAGCAAAUUGGACAGAGCUCUCUGUAAACUUGGCUUUAGAUUUUUCUUCCUCAGUCAACUCAUCACAAACAACUCUCUACGAGACCACAAACACGAACAUCGAACAUCGGUAGCAGGAGAGGAAUGUAACGACUUGUUCAGGCAACCUGUUUGUGCCUCUAGGGCUUGCUGGACCCAGGCCAUAUAUGUCACCUCCUCUUGAUGAUGGACUACUGCUGGCCACCCCUGAUUUUAUGGCGGGGUGGAUC
rnacentral:lncRNA from 1 species